rnacentral:rRNA from 1 species
CGGGAGCAAUCCUGGUGGCGAGUGGCGAACGGGUGAGUAAUACAUCGGAACGUGUCCUGUAGUGGGGGAUAGCCCGGCGAAAGCCGGAUUAAUACCGCAUACGCUCUACGGAGGAAAGGGGGGGAUCUCAGGACCUCUCGUUAUAGGGGCGGCCGAUGGCAGAUUAGCUAGUUGGUGGGGUAAAGGCCUACCAAGGCGACGAUCUGUAGCUGGUCUGAGAGGACGACCAGCCACACUGGGACUGAGACACGGCCCAGACUCCUACGGGAGGCAGCAGUGGGGAAUUUUGGACAAUGGGCGCAAGCCUGAUCCAGCAAUGCCGCGUGUGUGAAGAAGGCCUUCGGGUUGUAAAGCACUUUUGUCCGGAAAGAAAUCCUUUGAGCUAAUACCUCGGGGGGAUGACGGUACCGGAAGAAUAAGCACCGGCUAACUACGUGCCAGCAGCCGCGGUAAUACGUAGGGUGCAAGCGUUAAUCGGAAUUACUGGGCGUAAAGCGUGCGCAGGCGGUUCGCUAAGACAGAUGUGAAAUCCCCGGGCUUAACCUGGGAACUGCAUUUGUGACUGGCGGGCUAGAGUAUGGCAGAGGGGGGUAGAAUUCCACGUGUAGCAGUG